rnacentral:lncRNA from 1 species
GGAAUGUCAAAAGGACGUAGACAGAGUCUAUACAGAUAUCACGACACAACAAUAUAUAAAAUAGGAUGUAAUAGUGACUAUGCUUUAUUUCUAGUAAAACUAUCACAGAGAAAGAAAAUUGUUGGACAAACAAUCCUCUCUUUUUCAUAUGUGAUUGGACAAACAACCAUAGGUUUUCAUGUGUAACAAAAACACUAAUUACAACUCAAACGUUAGAAAUUCUAAUCAAGGCCCCCUUCCAUACACAAAGGAACAAAGCCACCAACAUUUCCAUGCACAAAGGAACAAUAAUGUUAGGCCCUACCUGAAUCCAGACAAGGAACAAAAAAGCAUAUAUUUACACCCCAUCAAAAAACAAGCAUGGAAACAAAGGAACUACAAAAAUAUAAAGCAUAGAGAAUAGUACAUUUGGCCUUUACCAGAAAAGGAAAGCCUCAUUGGCCAACCAGGGCAAGCAGAACAUGGUGAGACACAAAACACAAAUUGCCAUGCAACCAUACACCUAGCUCUGGAAAAGAAGAUGCAUGGAUAGGAGGAGAAGAGGGGUUGACAUGCAGAUCCGUGAAUGGAGACGCAGGAGGGUGCUGAUAGACGGUGUGCAGGCCCAACCCCGGCUUGCCGCUCAGCCGGCGGAGACGACAUUGAGCCCUUAAUGCAUCGAUGGCUUUGUGUUCACUGUAUGGAGCCGCAGAAAAAGGAGAUCAGAACUGUGUAUAUAUGGACAUCUAUGAGAGAGUGAACACUGGAUGCAGAGGAGAAAAUGGAACCAAAUGGUGAUCAUUACUAUUCAACUUGAAAGGAAGCGCAGUUUAUAUCCAUGAUUUCCCUCUUGUGAAGCAAGCAUCAAACAACACAGAAGCAAUGAAAUUGCACACUCAAAUAGAACAAUACAUGAAAUGCUCUUGUGUCGAGAACAAUUGCAAGUAUUUUGUGCACAUCACAUCAGAUUUGCAGGGGUAGCUCGAGAACGGGUGGGGCUCACCACGUGUGGGGGUAGCAGGAGGAAUAGGCAGAGCAGCCUUGAGGGCCCCGUCCACCUGCAGAAGCAGCUUGUCCUCAUCGGAGCAACCUUCACAUAAAACAAACGCAGGAAUCAGAAUAAGAGGAGAUGAAGAAACAAAGAAGAGAUUCAUGCCCACCCAGAAUAGUCAGAGAUCCACCCAGAACAAAGACCAUAAUAAACUAAGAGCCUAAUCAGGUUGUCAUGGUUAAGAACAUAUAUAGCAGAACAAUUAAUGAUUGAUGCUGCUAAAUCAACAACCCAAAGCUGAAGCUUUUUUUGAUACAUGGCUGCUGGAAACAUGCAAAUACAAUGAAUUAGAGCAUCUCCAGCCGUUGGAGCCCCCCAGGACAAUCGCCGGGCCAAAUAUAG